ensembl:misc_RNA Metazoa_SRP Metazoan signal recognition particle RNA
GCUGGGUGUGGUGACUCACGCCUGUAAUCCCAGCACUUGGGGAGGCUGAGGCAGGCGGUUUACCUGAGGCCAGGAGUUUGAGACCACCCUGGCCAACAUGGUGAAACCCUGUCUCUA